GGUGUUAAGAUGAUAGUAGUUAAAAUAAAGUUGGGCCCAAUAAACUGGUAGAUCAAAGGCCUGUUGAGCGCUCAUGCCCGGUGUGAUUUUAACAAUUGACUCCAAAUGCGUUGACAAGAAAAUAAGUAAAACUGUUAUUGAAUGUGAUUGGUUGAUAAAAUCAACGUACUAUAGGCUACAUUUUGUCUGCGAUAUCAUCUCGGUGGAAGCGGACAUUAAAUGAAGUGAUUUCACACAAUUAAUUUAACAUUUAACAACGUGCUGAAAUGAUUUUGGAGCAGUGAUAUGUUUGACAAAUGUAAGCUAAUGGUCACAUAGAAUACAAGACCGCAGAAUCACAUUAUGAUUAAAGCAGAAACGGCUCGACUUGAACCAGCAGACGGAAGAUAUGGACGAACAACAAGAAGAAGUUAUGGAGGUCCCAACAACUGAACCUAUGGAAGUAGAAGAAUCGUUUACAGCCGAAACCCGAUACGAUGUGCCAGUUCCGGUCAUGGAGUCCUCCAUCUCAGACGAUGCCGACGUUAGUGUCUUCUGCGACGAAGAACCCGUAGUGGUGUAUACGCAGGUAGAAGCUGGUACCUCCCGUGGCAAGUCCAAGUUGUUUGACAACCAAGGGUUUAGUUAUACAAUUAAGACAGAGAAGAAAACUACGAUUUGGAGGUGUUCCAAA